UUGCUGUGAAUAAAUGGGACAACAUCAUUGCUGGUAAUAAGGUGGAAGUCUGGGGCACGAGUUCUUGUUGUCGUGGACUAGUGAGCUCACUCUCUCUUUUGAAGGCGAGGUUUAUGUGUUUUUUGCUGUUAUGCCCCAGAAGGAACUAUAUGGUGGAAUGUUGCAUAAAGAGUCUUUGGGAGAUCGAGCGUGGAGUACCAAGCAUUAAUGCAACAAGCUAUAUUUUGUUUCAUCAUGUAAAACUUAACCAGGAAACUUAAAUGCUUUUUAGUCUAUCCAAUGUAUGAAUGCUUUAGCAAUGUUCCUUAAAUUCAAUAUUUGAUGAAUUGAUGUAUCCCAAUGACUUUGGUACAAAUGUUGAUCAUUUGAUGGUUUGCAUUCAA